rnacentral:rRNA from 1 species
GCCUGCAUUCCUCAGGAUCUUGUGCAACAGUUCCUUCCACUCGUCUGAUCUCAGAAGCUAAGCAGGGUUGGGCCUGGUUAGUACUUGGAUGGGAGACCACCCGGGGAAUACCGGGUGCUGUAGGCU